rnacentral:rRNA from 1 species
GCUUAACACAUGCAAGUCGAACGAUGAAGCCCAGCUUGCUGGGUGGAUUAGUGGCGAACGGGUGAGUAACACGUGAGUAACCUGCCCCCGACUCUGGGAUAAGCCCGGGAAACUGGGUCUAAUACCGGAUAUGACCUCGCACCGCAUGGUGCGGGGUGGAAAGAUUUAUCGGUGGGGGAUGGACUCGCGGCCUAUCAGCUUGUUGGUGAGGUAAUGGCUCACCAAGGCGACGACGGGUAGCCGGCCUGAGAGGGUGACCGGCCACACUGGGACUGAGACACGGCCCAGACUCCUACGGGAGGCAGCAGUGGGGAAUAUUGCACAAUGGGCGCAAGCCUGAUGCAGCGACGCCGCGUGAGGGAUGACGGCCUUCGGGUUGUAAACCUCUUUCAGUAGGGAAGAAGCGAAAGUGACGGUACCUGCAGAAGAAGCGCCGGCUAACUACGUGCCAGCAGCCGCGGUAAUACGUAAGGCGCAAGCGUUAUCCGGAUUUAUUGGGCGUAAAGAGCUCGUAGCGGUUUGUCGCGUCUGCCGUGAAAGUCCGAGGCUCAACCUCGGAUCUGCGGUGGGUACGGGGCAAACUANAGUGGAUGUAGGGGANACUGGAAUUCCUGGUGUANCGGUGAAAUGCCCANAUAUCAGGAGGAACNCCCGAUGGCGAAAGCAGGUCUCCUGGGCAUUUACUGGNCCCUUAAGNACCAAAANCAUGGGGGAGCGANCAGGAUUAAAAUACCUGGUAGCCCCCCCUNUAAAAAA